CUCAUGUACCUUGGCCAGCUCAGGGAAGGAAGGCUGACAGCUGAUCUCUGAGGCUUUGUGUGGUUUGCCUUUUUUCCAUGGGGAGUCUGAACUGCACAAACCCACUGAGUUGCUGAUGAUCUGAAGUGACAGUGGGGGUUCCUCCAAGAGCUCAAGUUAGGAGGGGAGCUCCACCCGCCAAAGCUCCUUAAGCCCACAGGGUAGGGGCACCACAUCCCUGCUCUGAAAUUCUGGUACUGGGUUUCCCCUCAUCUUUGAGCAGCACCGGACUCCUUCAAGUCUCAUGUCACACGUCCGCUCCGCUCCGACACUGGUUCUUCUUUAAGCAUAGCCUGGCGGUUUAUCUGCACUUUGCUGCUGUGCUACGUGUCGCUCUGGUAUAGCCUAUGACAUUCCAAGGUUCCAUUCAGCAGCACUAAGGAGCCGUGGCCCUCGCUUCCCUAGCUCGCCUUUCACCCAUCCUUUCGUUCCCAUGCUGGGCUUCAUAUGAAGGAGCCUCAUGAAUCUUACUGCAGCCAGAUGGUGGAUGACUCAGAAAACUGGAAAGAACGUAGUUGUGGAUUUGAUUUAAUAAUAAACAUCAAGAUGGGAUGAGCAGGGAUUUGGUGAAGUGGUUGACUGUAAUUAACUCUGGAGUGUAGACGCAUGCAAUGCAUCAUUUCUUCCAUUUAGGACUGUCAUCACAUUCACUCUGAAAAUAAAUCUAGAAUAGAAGUGACAUCUUUGUGAA